AUUAGAUCUACUUACCAUCAGACCUUUAUGCUAUUUCUUUUGCAGGAUCUCUUCAUGUGGUUGCCUGCACUAUAAUGUUGUUAAUAUUGUAACCAUUAGAAAGUUGUUGAACCCCCUCUCCCCCCAAGUGACAACUACUUGAUAUUGCAGCUCACACAAAAGGAUCAUACUUGCUGGUCACAAUAAGUUCAGAGCAGCCGACACAUGAGCGUAGGUUAGACUCUCGAACACGACACACUACAGGGUAUAACCACAGUCUCUCAAUAAAUGCUUAGCC